CCUGGUGCUCUCUCUUGUGAGGGUCUGUGUUUAAGGUUCCCUUCUUGGAAGGUGUCUUAGAUUUCCUGUUGCUGUAUCUAAAGCACCUUAAUGGAGUGUGGUGAUACAUUGUUUAUGAUCUACUAAAACCACUGGAGAUCAAAAUAGCAGAGCAGCCUCACUCUUAGACACAGAAGCCAGGCACACAUUUCAUGCCAGGAUCUGAGAGGAAUAGAAGGUAGAGGCAUUCAGUCUCGGGGUUCUUCUCCAGCCACACUGAGAAGAGGCAGCAGUCUGAGGCUUGGUGAGAGCCUUUGCCUCUGAGGAUUCCUGGAGACAGGACGGCCAUGUCAGCUGGGUAGAGAAAGAAGAUUUACUUUAUGAGACCAGAAAGACGGCUCGGCAGCCAAGAGCACUUGUCAUUGCAAAAGACACGGAGUUGGUUGCUGGCACCCAUGCAACAGUUACAACCGUCUGGAACUGAGCUCCAAGAGAUCCGAUACCCUCUUCCGUCCUCCUGCGGCUCCCGCACACACUGGGGUUCACAUCCAUGCGUGCUGACAGACGGCUACAUACACAAAAUGAAAAGAAAAUAAAAGUACGUAUUUUCAUCGUUUUUUCUUAA